GAGUUUGAUCCUGGCUCAGAUUGAACGCUGGCGGCAGGCUUAACACAUGCAAGUCGAACGGUAACAUGAGUGCUUGCACUUGAUGACGAGUGGCGGACGGGUGAGUAAAGUAUGGGGAUCUGCCGAAUGGAGGGGGACAACAGUUGGAAACGACUGCUAAUACCGCAUAAAGUUGAGAGACCAAAGCAUGGGACCUUCGGGCCAUGCGCCAUUUGAUGAACCCAUAUGGGAUUAGCUAGUUGGUAGGGUAAAGGCUUACCAAGGCGACGAUCUCUAGCUGGUCUGAGAGGAUGACCAGCCACACUGGAACUGAGACACGGUCCAGACUCCUACGGGAGGCAGCAGUGGGGAAUAUUGCACAAUGGGGGAAACCCUGAUGCAGCCAUGCCGCGUGUAUGAAGAAGGCCUUCGGGUUGUAAAGUACUUUCGGUAAUGAGGAAGGUGAUGUAUCUAAUAGGUGCAUCAAUUGACGUUAAUUACAGAAGAAGCACCGGCUAACUCCGCGCCAGCAGCCGCGGUAAUACGGAGGGUGCGAGCGUUAAUCGGAAUGACUGGGCGUAAAGGGCAUGUAGGCGGAUAAUCAAGUUAGGUGUGAAAGCCCUGGGCUCAACCUAGGAAUUGCACUUAAAACUGGUUAACUAGAGUAUUGUAGAGGAAGGUAGAAUUCCACGUGUAGCGGUGAAAUGCGUAGAGAUGUGGAGGAAUACCGGUGGCGAAGGCGGCCUUCUGGACAGAUACUGACGCUGAGAUGCGAAAGCGUGGGGAGCAAACAGGAUUAGAUACCCUGGUAGUCCACGCUGUAAACGAUGUCGAUUUGGAGUUUGUUGCCUAGAGUGAUGGGCUCCGAAGCUAACGCGAUAAAUCGACCGCCUGGGGAGUACGGCCGCAAGGUUAAAACUCAAAUGAAUUGACGGGGGCCCGCACAAGCGGUGGAGCAUGUGGUUUAGUUCGAUGCAACGCGAAGAACCUUACCUGGUCUUGACAUCCACAGAAUCUUGCAGAGAUGCGAGAGUGCCUUCGGGAACUGUGAGACAGGUGCUGCAUGGCUGUCGUCAGCUCGUGUUGUGAAAUGUUGGGUUAAGUCCCGCAACGAGCGCAACCCUUAUCCUUUGUUGCCAGCGGUUCGGCCGGGAACUCAAAGGAGACUGCCGUUGAUAAAGCGGAGGAAGGUGGGGACGACGUCAAGUCAUCAUGGCCCUUACGACCAGGGCUACACACGUGCUACAAUGGCGUAUACAAAGGGAGGCGA
rnacentral:rRNA from 1 species